rnacentral:tRNA from 1 species
AAUCUUAUAGUUUAAUUUAGAACUUUAGUUUGCAAAAUUAAGAGUGUAAAAUCUAAGAUUU